CCCAGAAACACCCGGGCCUCCGCCUAAUGCUCUACAUCUCACCUGGCACCGCCCCUUCCUGCGGACCUUACCUCUUAUUCCCGCCCCUUCCUGCCUCUGAGCCAAUCGCUCUCUGCCUCUCGCACAGGCUCUGUUUCCUCCUCUACUACUGGGCACUUUCUUCCGUCAGGUCUCAGAAACUCCAACCAACGGGAGCCAGUCAGGAGCUCCGCACUCAGCCAAUGGGGACUGAGCGGGAAGCAGAGCCCCGCGCUGGAUUGAGGCGCUCUUCCUGACUGACUCCGGAUUCUUGGGCCGUCAGAUGAGCUUGGUCCAAACACCGGUUUCCAUGGGUUCAAGACAUGAGUCGUCGUCUCUUGUUAUGCGCCACCUCGGGGCUGUCAUGGAUUCGGUCAGUGAUAAAGCGCACAGACACUGUCGGUGCAAUUACAAGUGAAAUGGUAAUCACUUCUGAACACGAAGAGAUCAUGGGAACCCAAACCUUGUCUCGAGUUCAGAUGCCUGCCUUCUGCACCUGCAUAGGCUGCCCCCACACCCACUGUCCUGACAGCAGAUGCCCCCUGGGUAAGUAGUUUUAUUUAUGUCAGAGAAGUUUAAAUUACUCAAAGAAAAAUACCUGAGUAAAUCCAGUCAUAAAUGUUCUCUGUAAUUUCUGCUUUCUGGUUUUGAACACAAAAAAAUAUUUUUGUAUAUAUAGGACAGGAGUUUGCUCAGAACCAUAGGCAUAUUGCCACCCUUGUCUCCCUGUAUUGGGACAGCUUAACGUCUUCCUUUCUGCUGCCCUGUCAUGGCAGAGAGAGACAGACAGAGACAGAGAGACAGACACAGAGACGGGAAAAUACAUCGCUCCUGCUUUGGGACAAAGUGGGGUCGGCAUCCCAGGCACGCAAAGACCACUUUGAUGAAAACCAAGAUGUUUCUAGAGGACUUUCUCCAACUCUCUCAAACCCAAUGCUCAGCCACAAGUACAGUCACAGCUACAGUACAUACCACCCUCCAGAGAGAGGGCAGAGGAGGGUGGGGUGUUCAAGAGUCAGCUCUCCUUUCCAAAGAACAGAAAACUGUGCACGCUAUCCUGAAAACAAACAAAAACUAGACGUCCUAUGAAGUCAUCACAAAGUGCAGUUGUACUAUGCACGACAGAUACGUGUGUGCUCACCGUGAAAAUGUGACCUGUGUGUAGCCUUAUAAAGGUGCGGAGGAAGCUCCGAGUGAGGAAAUGAUCA